rnacentral:lncRNA from 1 species
UUUGGUUCAGGAUUAAAGGGGAUAAGGAGAUUUUUUAGUGCAAUAAUUUUUUUCUAAAAUUUUAUUCUAAAAAAUAUAUCUGUUAAAUUUUUAUUUUUAAAUAUGGUCCUAUAAAAGCGGUGAAUGGUUCACCGCUUUUAACCGUUUUCUUUUUUCUUUUUUUUUUUACUUCUUUCUAUAUUUCUACGAUGAUAAAAGCGGUGAAUGAUUCACCAUUUUUAUUCUUUUUCUACUCCCAAAAAGGAGUAAUGAAUGUAGUGAAUCAUUCACCGCAUUUAAAGGUCUAUUUUUAUAAUUAUUUUUUAAAAAAACUUAUUUUUAUAAUUAUAAAAAUUGAUAGGAUUAUUUUUUAAAAAAAUUCGGAAUAAGAGGUUAUCCCCUUUUAACCCCAAACAAGAAUUUUGAGUGGUAGGGUUAGCUAACCCCACCCCAAAUAGGCUAUCCUAGAAUAAGCCCAGGAAUGGGGGUGGGAAUGUGGGAUUAAGUUAAUCCCACCCCUAUUUUAUUUUUAAAUAUAAAUAUAAAUUAUUAUUUUUAAAUUUUAAAUUUUAAAUUGAUAUUUUUUAAAAAAAAAUUUGAAAUUUGAAAUUUAAAAUUAUUAUUUUUAAUUAUUUAAAUUUUAAAUUUGAUAUUUUAUAUUUGUAACUUUAAGUUUUUAAAUUUGAGAUUUAAAAAUAUAUUUUUAAAUUUUAAAUUUUUCAUUUUAAAUUUUAAAUUAUUAUUUUUAAUUAUUUAAAUUUUAAAUUUAGAUUCAAAUAUAAUAAUUAGGGCAAUAUUAUUAUUUUUUAUUUAUAACUAUUCACUAUCCUUCUUAUUUCACUUACUUCAAUCAAACACUAUUUUGCUUAUAUCUCGACUAAACCCAAUUCUCAACCAAACACAAAGUUACUCUAACCCCAGCUUAACCCUGAACUUAACCAUAUUCGUAAAAUAAUUAGUUCUUAUUUAACCCCGAACCAAAUGAAGCCAUGUCAUUGAAGUUUUCUAGCUAGCUUUAAAAAACAAAAUCAGAGCCCCCUCCCCCCUUCCUUUUCAUUAGCUUUAAAGAGAAAAAUUAGCUUUAGCAAUUACUUAUGUGAAACAAUCGUUGUACUCUAAAAGCUUAAGCUGUUAGAGAACGGUAUUUAUAUAAUUUUAUAUUUAACCGUUGUACUCUAAAAGCUUAAACUGUUAGAGAACGGUAUUUACAUAAUUUUAUAUUUAACAUUCCUCCUCACGACUGGAACUCGAGACUUUUUGUAAGGCCCAUGACGUAGAUUGGAAUUAAAGAAAGAAAAUUAAUUAUGCUAGAGACCUAGCAUGACUUGAACUCAGGAUCUUCCGCUCUGAUACUAUGUGAAAUCUAAAAAUUUAAGCUGUUGAAAAACGGUACUUAUAUAAUUUUAUAUUUAACACUGAUCACAUGCACCGAUU